UGAAUUAUACGGCAAGUGGCCAUAUAUGGGCUGUACGCCGCGCACCGAGAAGACACCACACGAAAAGCCGAGUCCCUUUUAUUACACGCUCGACACUGCACGUAUGUAAGGCGCCUUCUCCUUUAAUACCAAGAAGUGCAUAAGUGCAUCGCUGCACGCAAAACUUAGGUAUUUUCUUGAGCGAGUGUCCACAGGCUUGAGAGCACGAUGCACUGGAUGCGUAAGGUAUAUACUUAUUAGCCAUCCAUUACGCAAGCGGGACGCCAUUUUACACUGAUUAACAUAGUAAUUACAAUUUAAUUAAACGAUUCGUGUCGGGUCGAGAUAUACCGAUGAAAUCAAGACGUCAAAUCAGUUCGACUACCCGCGCGAAUUGGAUGCACGCAGUUUUUCGGCCAGUGUCGCCCCAGGCGGACUUUUCAGGAACUAAAUAACAUGGCGCGACAAUCUCGCCGCGAGACAUUCUACGUUUCUCGGUAGUGGCCAAACACCGUACCCCGGAGAUGGCUCUGAUGGUCGAUGACGAUGGCUAAAGGCGGUGAUGGUUUAAAGUAGUGGCUCUUUUAUUCUGAAACAGCCGCGAUCCAACGUUUCUUAAACACCCUGUACCCUUGUUCCAGCACUCGGACUUGCAAACAGUAUAGGGAACCCGCUCGGGCGGACUGCUUAUAUGCGAGGCUGGCGCCGCACUGUCGCAUCCUAUAUACAGCAUCUCUGGCUCACACUGUUGAUUCCUAUACUCCGUACACAGUUGGCUGCACUCGGUGGUAUGAAUUCCACGUAUAGAUACGUGGACCAGUACGUAUCCUCAGGUAUGCAUACAUAUAUAUACUCGUAUUACGUAUACAUGAUGACUGGCGGUUCCGCCACGUACGGCGGGAAGCUUCGAGAGCGGGAAACCAGCACGUAGGAAGUGCAUACACGCGGAUGUUGGUACGCGAGUGGAGGUGAGCGAUAUAGAAAAUUGCAGGAGAGAAAGAGAGAGAGGUUAUGAUUAUUAAAGGGAGAGGCAGCGAGUAGGACGGUGAGAUGGAACACGGGCAGCCAGUGUACGAUAUAUAUAUAUAUAUACAGCUUACUGCACUGGCUUCAGCAUUCUCAUGCCUCUGUGUAUCGCAAACCGGCGGUUGCUGCUGCAUUAAUUAAACGCAGAUGCCGAUGCCUUGUCACCCGCCAUUUGCCAUUCGCGUUUGUGUUGCCCGGCCAGGGCGGCACCUAAUUCAUCCUCACUCGGCCGAAGCUCUGAUCCACGUUCAGGACAGGGACCACUACUGUUAUAAUUCUGUCUCUCUUAUUGCAGUGAACUACGUCACCACGCACCCGCGCCAAUUGGUACCAGCUUUCGUGUCUACGUCGCGAAACUGGUUAUGCGCUACGUGGGUUAACUGGCUGGGACAGGUGGCUGGAACGUUGUAGGACGAGAGGAUUGAUGCCGCUGCCAAUCGUAGCAGGACGGAAGAGAAUAAUGCAUGAGGACAGGGCGGAGAUAUAUUGGAAAGUUACAUCGAAUUGGAUGAUUACGAUAAAUGGGACACGUGGAGAAGCGUUUUAUGAUAUUUGUAUGAUGGCCAACACGUGGGAGAAUGUUUGAUGGAAUUUGUAUGAAGGGAUGAGAAGAAAAAAAGAUAAAGCACAGCAAGUCGCAGUAUAAUUUUCAAAUGCGUCCCGGAUUCGGGAUACGUAAUAGGAGAGAGAGGAAUCUUGCGAGGAUUGGUGUUGUUUCUCGAAAAAACAACGCACUGGGCACCGACGGCGUCGGUGGCGGCGGCGGCCAACGAGGGAACGAGCAAGCUAAGCAAAAUAAAGAAAUGGAGAAAAAGGAGAAUAAAAGGUGGGAAGAGGCUAGCGCGGCGCCUGGCUGGAAUGGUUCUACGGGUCUUGGCACUCCGAUUGUGCGACUCUGUAGCAUCCCUGGAGCGGCGCAGAGUAGACUGAAUGUGUGGGUCGGAUGCUGCAUGGACCCGAAACAGCGUAGAGCAUUGUUCGGCUCGCCUAUAAAACAAGCAGUGAACUGACUCGUCGAAUCCGGGCUACGGGGUAACAAGCUGGCAUCGAAUUGCUUCCCUAUACCCACCAUUACCAUGCUGGCUAUUCGAUGGUGGUCAUGAUGUUGGAUUGGGAUAUCCUAGAAUUAUAGAAAUCAACAAUGGAUGGCAUUCAUUUAUUUUAUUCAUUUUGUGAAAAAAAUAUUUCAACUCGGGAUUUAGCUGUUAAAGAAAAAUUGAAAAAAUAAUCCAUCGAAAUCAAUCAACGUUUUGAUGUAAAAAAAUGACUCCCGGAUGACACGUAUCUCUAUGAAGGUGUCGACUCCCGGACAGACACGUAAUGACGAAACGGUAUAAUGGACGCGGCAUUCCUGAAAGGGGGGGCGUCCUCGAACGAUAAAAAGAAGAUGAGCA